rnacentral:misc_RNA from 1 species
GAUGAAGAACGCAGCGAAAUGCGAUACUUGGUGUGAAUUGCAGAAUCCCGUGAACCAUCGAGUCUUUGAACACAAGUUGCGCCCGAAGCCACUAGGCCGAGGGCACGCCUGCCUGGGCGUCACACGCCGUUGCCCCCCCAUCUACUCCUUCGGGAUUGCGGGGGGGCGGAUGAUGGCCUCCUGUGCGCCUAGCCGCGCGGUUGGCAUAAAUACCAAGUCCUCGGCGACGCACGCCACGACAAUCGGUGGUUGCGAAACCUCGGUUGCCCGUCGUGUGCGUUCGUCGCGCAUCGAGGGCUCGAAAAAAUGCUCGGCUCCGGCUGGGCUUUCAACGCGACCCCAGGUCAGGCGGGGUUACCCGCUGAAUUUAAGCAUAUCAAUAAGCGGAGGA